UUAACAAAAUAGCGGGAUAUCUCGGGAACUGAGAAUAAUGCCCGAUAGAACAUUAUGCCUGGAAUGGUUUAUGUUUCAAAUGAUUUAUCGCCAUAGGAUGGGACUGCGGCCUAUCAGUUUGUUGGUGAGGUAAUGGCCCACCAAGACUAUUACAGGUACGGGCUCUGAGAGGAGUGGCCCGGAGAUGGGUACUGAGACACGGACCCAGGCCCUAUGGGGCGCAGCAGGCGAGAAAACUUUGCAAUGUGCGAAAGCACGACAAGGUUAAUCCGAGUGGUUUCUGCUAAAGAAACCUUUUGCCAGUCCUAGAAACACUGGUGAAUAAGGGGUGGGCAAGUUCUGGUGUCAGCCGCCGCGGUAAAACCAGCACCUCAAGUGGUCAGGAUGAUUAUUGGGCCUAAAGCAUCCGUAGCUCGUUUUGUAAGUUUUCGGUUAAAUCCAUGCGCUUAACGUAUGGGCUGCCGGGAAUACUGCAUAACUAGGAAGUGGGAGAGGUAGACGGUACUCGGUAGGAAGGGGUAAAAUCCUUUGAUCUAUUGAUGACCACCUGUGGCGAAGGCGGUCUACCAGAACACGUUCGACGGUGAGGGAUGAAAGCUGGGGGAGCAAACCGGAUUAGAUACCCGGGUAGUCCCAGCUGUAAACUAUGCAAACUCAGUGAUGCAUUGGCUUGUGGCCAAUGCAGUGCUGCAGGGAAGCCGUUAAGUUUGCCGCCUGGGAAGUACGUACGCAAGUAUGAAACUUAAAGGAAUUGGCGGGGGAGCAC
rnacentral:rRNA from 1 species